rnacentral:rRNA from 1 species
UACGUAGGGUGCAAGCGUUGUCCGGAAUUAUUGGGCGUAAAGAGCUCGUAGGCGGUUUGUCGCGUCGGCUGUGAAAUCUCGGGGCUCAACCCCGAGCCUGCAGUCGAUACGGGCAGACUAGAGUGCUGUAGGGGAGACUGGAAUUCCUGGUGUAGCGGUGAAAUGCGCAGAUAUCGGGAGGAACACCGGUGGCGAAGGCGGGUCUCUGGGCAGUAACUGACGCUGAGGAGCGAAAGCGUGGGGAGCGAACAGG